rnacentral:rRNA from 1 species
CCCAGACUCCUACGGGAGGCAGCAGUGGGGAAUAUUGCACAAUGGGGGAAACCCUGAUGCAGCGACGCCGCGUGAGCGAUGAAGUAUUUCGGUAUGUAAAGCUCUAUCAGCAGGGAAGAAAAAAAUGACGGUACCUGAGUAAGAAGCACCAGCUAAAUACGUACCAGCAGCCGCGGUAAUACGUAUGGUGCAAGCGUUAUCCGGAUUUACUGGGUGUAAAGGGAGCGUAGGCGGCGCGUUAAGCCUGAUGUGAAAACCCGAGGCUCAACCACGGGAGUGCAUUGGAAACUGGCGGGCUGGAGUGCCGGAGAGGUAAGCGGAAUUCCUAGUGUAGCGGUGAAAUGCGUAGAUAUUAGGAGGAACACCAGUGGCGAAGGCGGCUUACUGGACGGCAACUGACGCUGAGGCUCGAAAGCGUGGGGAGCAAACAGGAUUAGAUACCCCUGUA